GAUGAACGCUGGCGGCGUGCCUAAUACAUGCAAGUCGAGCGAACAGACGAGGAGCUUGCUCCUCUGACGUUAGCGGCGGACGGGUGAGUAACACGUGGAUAACCUACCUAUAAGACUGGGAUAACUUCGGGAAACCGGAGCUAAUACCGGAUAAUAUAUUGAACCACAUGGUUCAAUAGUGAAAGGCGGUUUUGCUGUCACUUAUAGAUGGAUCCGCGCCGCAUUAGCUAGUUGGUAAGGUAACGGCUUACCAAGGCAACGAUGCGUAGCCGACCUGAGAGGGUGAUCGGCCACACUGGAACUGAGACACGGUCCAGACUCCUACGGGAGGCAGCAGUAGGGAAUCUUCCGCAAUGGGCGAAAGCCUGACGGAGCAACGCCGCGUGAGUGAUGAAGGUCUUCGGAUCGUAAAACUCUGUUAUUAGGGAAGAACAAAUGUGUAAGUAACUAUGCACGUCUUGACGGUACCUAAUCAGAAAGCCACGGCUAACUACGUG
rnacentral:rRNA from 1 species